UACGAAGGGGGCUAGCGUUGCUCGGAAUUACUGGGCGUAAAGCGCACGUAGGCGGCUUCUUAAGUCGGUGGUGAAAUCCUGGAGCUCAACUCCAGAACUGCCUUCGAUACUGGGAAGCUCGAGUCCGGGAGAGGUGAGUGGAACUGCGAGUGUAGAGGUGAAAUUCGUAGAUAUUCGCAAGAACACCAGUGGCGAAGGCGGCUCACUGGCCCGGUACUGACGCUGAGG
rnacentral:rRNA from 1 species